UCAUCCUGUUACUCAUUUGAUCAUUGUUUCUCUUCAUAAAGAAAGGAACAUGUCAACAUGAGCAGCAGGUUUAGUGUUGACCAUGAAGCCCUUGUUUUUUAGUAGUCUUCCCCUAAAAUUCUGAACCUCUUUCCUCUUUAGGUAUAGACAUCUGGGACAAGAUUUACUCGUAAUGCAUGCACAAUGAUUUUUUAUAUUGCACAAGCAAAUUGUGCACGUUUCUUAUCAUCCUGAUUAUUGUUCUUUAAUUGUGCUUUUAUGUGCCAGGCUUCUCUGGUCAUGCGUGGACAAUAUUUUAUUCCUAUUUGAUGCAUGUUUUGAACUCAAACCACAGUGUACUACCAAAAUUCAAUUUGGUUAAGUUUUAACCUAUGGCCCUUAUCUAGCUUCCCUUAUACAUGUACAUGUUAAUUUUUGAG
rnacentral:misc_RNA from 1 species